rnacentral:rRNA from 1 species
AGUGAACGCUGGCGGUAGGCCUAACACAUGCAAGUCGAACGGCAGCACAGUAAGAGCUUGCUCUUUCGGGUGGCGAGUGGCGGACGGGCGAGGAAUACAUCGGAAUCUACUUUUUCGUGGGGGAUAACGUAGGGAAACUUACGCUAAUACCGCAUACGACCUACGGGUGAAAGCAGGGGAUCUUCGGACCUUGCGCGAUUGAAUGAGCCGAUGUCGGAUUAGCUAGUUGGCGGGGUAAAGGCCCACCAAGGCGACGAUCCGUAGCUGGUCUGAGAGGAUGAUCAGCCACACUGGAACUGAGACACGGUCCAGACUCCUACGGGAGGCAGCAGUGGGGAAUAUUGGACAAUGGGCGCAAGCCUGAUCCAGCCAUACCGCGUGGGUGAAGAAGGCCUUCGGGUUGUAAAGCCCUUUUGUUGGGAAAGAAAAGCAGCAGGUUAAUACCCCGCUGUUCUGACGGUACCCAAAGAAUAAGCACCGGCUAACUUCGUG